ensembl:lncRNA
ACAGCCCUGCCUCACUUUCCUCCAGCUCUCUGGGGCCUCCUGGCUGGGAGAGCAGCCAGGGACCAGUUUGUCACCUGCCUGAGGUCAGGCAAGGAGCCCCUGCCCCUCAGUGAAGUUCUCCGCAGCUCUCCCAAGGCGCGUCUGGAGGUCGGAAGUCUGGAGUGUGUCUCACUGGGCUGAAGUCAAGGUCGUCCUCAAGGCAGCGUUCCUUCUGGAGGUUUUCUGGGAGACUCGACCUUGCCUUUUCCAGUUUCUAGAGGCCACAGGAAUCUUUAACUCGGGGCUCCUUCCUCCAUCUUCAAAGCAAGCGGCUCCGGCUGAGUCCUUUGUCCAGUCUCCCUGGCUCUCUCCCUACCUUCCUCUCCCACAAGGAAGCAUCUUGUGAUCCUGGGUCCACCUGGAUAAUCCAGGCUACUCUCUCUCCCUGUUUGAAGCUGUAACAAACCACCCUGAACUUGGAUGGCGGAAAACAAUGGAAUGGAAUUCUCUCAGUGCAGGAGGCCAGAAGCCAGAAACCCCGGUGUCGGCGGUUUGGCUCCUUCUGGAGGGUCUGAGGCAGAAAGUGUGGCUGCCUCUCCCCUCGCCUCAGACACCCUUGGUGUCUGACAUGUGGACUCAUCACGCCAUUCAUUCACACUGCGCUCCUCCACAUCCAGAUUUCCUUCUUCUUCAGUCUUUGGACUUAGGGCCCACCCUCGCCCAGGACGACCCCAUCUUGACUUGAACACUUCUGUAAAAACCCUGUCUCCAAAUUAAGCGACAUCUGAAGUUCCCAAAGGACAUAAAUUUGGGGGGUGUGGAGUGGCCCCUGUUGAGCCCAGCACAAGUGGCAUAUGCAUUUCACACACGGGGCACACUCUUGUGCCCCCUUACGGCCUCUGAAAGCCAGAGCCCCCUGGCACGUUCCCUAAGCUGCUUCAUAGUACACCGCUCCACCCCACCCCUACCAGUGGCACCCAGGGCUUGCUGGGGGACUGGGGUGUGUUGUUGUUUAAUGAACACUUCUUUGCACUGGGCACGGUCUUAGGU